rnacentral:rRNA from 1 species
AGUGAACGCUGGCGGUAGGCCUAACACAUGCAAGUCGAACGGCAGCACAGUAAGAGCUUGCUCUUACGGGUGGCGAGUGGCGGACGGGUGAGGAAUACAUCGGAAUCUACUUUUUCGUGGGGGAUAACGUAGGGAAACUUACGCUAAUACCGCAUACGACCUACGGGUGAAAGCAGGGGAUCUUCGGACCUUGCGCGAUUGAAUGAGCCGAUGUCGGAUUAGCUGGUUGGCGGGGUAAAGGCCCACCAAGGCGACGAUCCGCAGCUGGUCUGAGAGGAUGAUCAGCCACACUGGAACUGAGACACGGUCCAGACUCCUACGGGAGGCAGCAGUGGGGAAUAUUGGACAAUGGGCGCAAGCCUGAUCCAGCCAUACCGCGUGGGUGAAGAAGGCCUUCGGGUUGUAAAGCCCUUUUGUUGGGAAAGAAAAGCAGCAGGUUAAUACCCCGCUGUUCUGACGGUACCCAAAGAAUAAGCACCGGCUAACUUCGUG